AAAAAAGGGUCUUUAGACCCAUUUUAAAAUCUACCACCACCUAUCAUUUGUGGCCUGUCUAUGGGUGAGAUGGAGGAGGUUUUUUAAAAUCCAAUUAUUAUAAAUAAAAUAUCGUCUAAUGACGAAAUAAAAAAUUUCUAA
rnacentral:misc_RNA from 1 species